GUCAAAUGUCAAAACGAAGUUACUAUAAAUAAAACCUUGAUGCAAUAAUGAAAGGUGUUAUAGGUUGGUUUUGCAUUUAUUAGGCCAUUUCCUUACUGUUUCCUGGCCGACCUGUGCUGGUAUUGUGAUUAAGAGCUAAUACACCAUCCUCUGGGGAACUGCAGCUGCAGCCGAAUUUGAUUGUGUGCACCAUCGUGCAGAUGAAUUUUUCCUGUUGCGCCUUUGUGCGCGUUGGAGUAAGUUGCAAACCAUUGGAGACGGUUAAGGUGUGUCGGACAGGGGCCAAAGUUAAGAUUCCUCUAUGGAGACUCAAAAAAUUAAUAUUAUUGUUUUCAUCUAGUACCUAAAAUCGCUACUACUAUAGCGACUCCAAUCGGGACCAAAAUUUAUAUGUGCUACCAAAUGUGAAUGUACAUACAUAUCACAUAUAUUAACAUAGAUACAGUGAACCAAAAAAAAAGUUGUACAUUGAACGUAUUUAUCUCGAAUGACUACGCUUAGCUCUGAAACUGUAACAAACCAAAGAAUCACCAUUUUUCGAAAGCAAACAAAAAAUUUUCCACUAAGUUCAAAAUGAUUAACUGGUUAAAAAGUUAACUAUUUAAUACAAAUUAGUAUUAAGUUCAGCAACCCUCGGUAUCUGGCAUGUCUCCAAGCCUUCUAUUCAGAGAGUUUGUUGUAUUUUAGAGCAUACACAACGUAAGGUAAGCGUAUUUAUUUGAGAUAAGUCUUUAUUGUUGGCAUGAAACCGAAGUAUCUGUGUUUUAAUUAUUUUUAGUUUUAUCUAAAUAGCUUAACUAAUGACAGAGAUAUUCAACUUUGAAGAUGAGUACCUUCAAUGUACAACUUUUUAUUAAACAUAAUAUUUUUAUCUAACGCUGUAAUAUUUGUUUUCAAUUUCUAUUAGAUAUAUUGUGAGCUAUUUGACAGAUUUUGUAUAAAUCUGAACUCGAAAUGAAAAUGAGUUAGGGCCUUUCUAUAUUAAGGUAACGAUAUACAUAUACUGCAGGUCACUUGAUUAGAGCAUCAGUAUUCAUAGUUUUCUUUUUGUUCGUUUAAAAGUAAUUAAUUUUUUUGUAAAAAUAAAGCCUAGUCUAACAAAAACCAUGUAAAUACGUAAACUUUGUACAACAGCAGAGUUUCUAAUUUGCAGUGGCAAAUAAAACUUCAGCGAUGCCAACAGCA